GGGCGUAAAGCGCGCGUAGGCGGUUUCUUAAGUCUGAUGUGAAAGCCCCCCGGCUCAACCGGGGAGGGUCAUUGGAAACUGGGAAACUUGAGUGCAGAAGAGGAGAGUGGAAUUCCAUGUGUAGCGGUGAAAUGCGCAGAGAUAUGGAGGAACACCAGUGGCGAANGGGCGGCUCUCUGGUCUGUAACUGACGCUGAUGUGCGAAAGCGUGGGGAUCAAACAGGAUUAGAUACCCUGGUAGUCCACGCCGUAAACGAUGAGUGCUAAGUGUUAGGGGGUUUCCGCCCCUUAGUGCUGCAGCAAACGCAUUAAGCACUCCGCCUGGGGAGUACGACCGCAAGGUUGAAACUCAAAGGAAUUGACGGGGACCCGCACAAGCGGUGGAGCAUGUGGUUUUAAUUCGGAAGCAACGCGAAGAACCUUACCAAAUCUUGACAUCCUCUGACCGGCCUGGAGACAGGGCUUCCCUUCGGGGCAGAGAGACAGGUGGUGCAUGGUUGUCGUCAGCUCGUGUCGUGAGAUGUUGGGUUAAGUCCCGCAACGAGCGCAACCCUUAAGCUUAGUUGCCAGCAUUCAGUUGGGCACUCUAAGUUGACUGCCGGUGACAAACCGGAGGAAGGUGGGGAUGACGUCAAAUCAUCAUGCCCCUUAUGAUUUGGGCUACACACGUGCUACAAUGGACAGGUUACAAAGGGCAGCGACGCCGCAAGGCCAAGCGAAUCCCAUAAAACUGUUCUCAGUUCGGAUUGGAGUCUGCAACUCGACUCCAUGAAGCUGGAAUCGCUAG
rnacentral:rRNA from 1 species